GACAGAGGUGCCAAGCGUUAGGCGGAAUCACUGGGCUUAAAGCGUGUGUAGGCGGAUGCCUAAGUACCUUGUGAAAUCCCACGGCUCAACCGUGGAACUGCUUGGUAUACUGGGUGUCUUGAGCCAUCUAGGGGCUACCGGAACAAAUGGUGGAGCGGUGAAAUGCGUAGAUAUCAGGAGGAACACCGGUGGUGUAGACGGCUUUCUGGACCAUAACUGACGCUGAGACACGAAAGCGUGGGUAGCAAACAGG
rnacentral:rRNA from 1 species